GGGGCGGGCGGGGCGCCUGCGCCUGCGCCUGCGCGUCUUCUAGUAGUCGACGUCACGGCGCCGGCGUCGGCGGACUGUACGUGCGCCACGGUCGCCGCAGCCAUUUACUCAACCGAGCUGCUGUCUCUGUAGUCGCUGCUGCCGCUGCUGCCGCGUCUGCCGCCAUGGCUCAGUACAAGGGCGCCGCGAGCGAGGCGGGCCGCGCCAUGCACCUGAUGAAGAAGCGGGAGAAGCAGCGCGAGCAGAUGGAGCAGAUGAAGCAGCGGAUCGCGGAGGAGAACAUAAUGAAAUCCAACAUCGACAAGAAGUUCUCGGCACACUAUGAUGCCGUGGAGGCGGAGCUCAAGUCCAGCACCGUGGGCCUUGUGACCCUGAAUGACAUGAAGGCCAAGCAGGAGGCACUGGUGAAGGAGCGGGAGAAGCAGCUGGCCAAGAAGGAGCAGUCGAAGGAGCUGCAGCUGAAGCUGGAGAAGCUGCGAGAGAAGGAGCGCAAGAAGGAGGCCAAGCGGAAGAUCUCCUGUCUUUCCUUCACGGUGGGUGAGGAGGAGGAGGCGGGCGAGGAGCAGGAGGAGGCGGCCACGUUUGAGGAGGAGUUGGAAAGGGAAGAGAUGGCCGCGAAGAGGAGGAAAUUGGGGAAGAACCCAGAUGUGGACACGAGCUUUUUGCCUGACCGGGACCGCGAGGAGGAGGAGAAUCGGCUCCGGGAAGAGCUGCGGCAAGAGUGGGAGGCCAAGCAGGAGAAGAUCAAGAGCGAGGAGAUUGAAAUCACCUUCAGUUACUGGGAUGGCUCCGGGCACCGGCGGACAGUCAAGAUGAAAAAAGGUAACACCAUGCAGCAGUUCCUGCAGAAGGCGCUUGAGAUCCUGCGCAAAGACUUCAGUGAGCUCAGGUCAGCGGGGGUGGAGCAGCUCAUGUACAUCAAGGAGGACCUAAUCAUACCCCACCACCACAGCUUCUAUGAUUUCAUCGUCACCAAGGCACGAGGGAAGAGUGGGCCCCUCUUUAAUUUCGACGUUCACGAUGAUGUGCGGCUGCUCAGUGACGCCACUGUGGAGAAGGAUGAGUCGCAUGCGGGCAAGGUGGUGCUGAGGAGCUGGUACGAGAAGAACAAGCACAUCUUCCCCGCCAGCCGCUGGGAACCCUAUGACCCCGAGAAGAAGUGGGACAAGUACACAAUCCGGUGAAUGCAGAGCUGGAGUAGGCUUGCUCCCCGGUUCCUUCCAGGCUCCCCACUCCCCGCAUCUCCAGGAUUCCAGACGCCCGGCUUCACCCCUCCUGUGAUGUGACUGAUCAUCCCCUGCCCCUGAUGCUGUCAUUUACUGCUUUUUUCUUUUACAUAAAGAAAUGCACAUGUUAGAGUCAGAGCGUUGUGUUUUAUUGUAAAAAAUAUUUUUGAGAUAAAAUUCACAUAAGAAAGUUCACCGUUUUGGCCAUAUGCAAGUGUACAAAUUCAGGGGUAUUUAGUACAUUGAAAAUGUUGUGCAACCAUCACCUCUAUCUAGUUCCAGAGUAUUUCCAGCACCCCAAAAGGAAACCUCUAUACCCAUUAGCAGUCUCUCCCUCAGGCCCUGGCACCCUCUAGCUUACUUUCUGUCUAUAUGGAUUUGCCUAUUCUGGGAUUUUCACAUAAAUGGAAUUAUACAAUUGAAAAACAGCUAAAGUGAGAGACUCAGGUACCCCUUCCCCAACUAUUUUCAAUAGGUUUAUUCAUUCAUUCAUAUACAUAGAUAUAUUCCUGAAUUUACAUACAAUGUCAAGUUAUAAAUCAGGGACUUUUAAAAUAAAUAAAAGAUUUAAAUCUCUGCCAACUUUCCUUUAAUAACAUGGGGGAAAAACAAACUCUUAAGAUCUGAAAUGUGAGACUUUUUCUAUUUUUUCAUCCCCUAAUAAGCACUAACAAGCAAUUUGCAUCAAUUCACCACCUACUCCUUGGCAUCCCCAAUUCCUCCAGCAGUUAUUGCGAAGGUGGCUUCAUUUUCAGGCAUCUCAGGGCUAACAGAAUGCAAGGGAACAGAAGUUUAUAAAAAGCUCUAUUUCUAAAAAUACUAUAUUCAUGCCACAGGCAUCAUAUUCCUAUUGAGUUUCCAGAGACAUCUCAGAGUUGGUACAGCUAAAUGUGGACUACAGAAUUUACAAGUAUCAACCCUCACAAACAUUGAACAACUUUUUUUCUUUAAUUCUUAAAAAGUUUAUUUGAACCAAACUGAGGAUAUGCUGGGAAGCAAGAUAUCAAAUGCUCCUGAACAACUAUAUGCAAGAUUCUGAAUGUCAAGAAAAACUUAGAAAUAGGCACAAAGAAUAACUGUUUUGUGUAGCAGUCCCUAGGGGCUUAUCUGAUUCUAAAGGGGUGUGCACCUUUUAUUGGCUAGACCAAUGUAGGGAGAAACUGAAAGACUGAAAUGAACUAAAAGAUUACUAAAGUACCUUCAGUGGAAAUACAGGUUGGCUAGCACAUCUUUCCAGGUUAUCCAACUCUUAUGAGGACUCUGUGCUUUUCAUUGUCUUUGAGCUAUUAUUUAUAACUAUAAGUUGUAUAAAACUAUGAGUAAUAUAAAUUAUUCUUGUCCACAGAAAUGUAAAUUGUGUGAGGAGGCAUGUAACUGAUUAUUGUUCUAUGGAUACCGUGACCUGUUUUUGAUCAGUUUAUAAUUCAUUUCAGCAUUCCUUAUCUGACUACAUAUGUGUGGUAAUCUGAUUUUUCUUUUCAUCUAGUUACAAAAUCUUAUUGGUUACUGCAUUAAUGAGUUGAAUAAACUCUUUGACAUUUUAUAUUU